GCUUGAACAAGUAAUUUUGGGUCC
rnacentral:siRNA from 1 species